AGAGUUUGAUCAUGGCUCAGGACGAACGCUGGCGGCGUGCUUAACACAUGCAAGUCGAGCGGAAAGGCCCUUCGGGGUACUCGAGCGGCGAACGGGUGAGUAACACGUGAGCAACCUGCCUUAGCUUCGGGAUAGCUCCGGGAAACCGGAAUUAAUACCGGAUAUGACCCUGACUGACAUCGGUCGGGGUGGAAAGGAUU
rnacentral:rRNA from 1 species